UAGGGAAUCUUCGGCAAUGGACGGAAGUCUGACCGAGCAACGCCGCGUGAGUGAAGAAGGUUUUCGGAUCGUAAAGCUCUGUUGUAAGAGAAGAACGAGUGUGAGAGUGGAAAGUUCACACUGUGACGGUAUCUUACCAGAAAGGGACGGCUAACUACGUGCCAGCAGCCGCGGUAAUACGUAGGUCCCGAGCGUUGUCCGGAUUUAUUGGGCGUAAAGCGAGCGCAGGCGGUUAGAUAAGUCUGAAGUUAAAGGCUGUGGCUUAACCAUAGUAGGCUUUGGAAACUGUUUAACUUGAGUGCAAGAGGGGAGAGUGGAAUUCCAUGUGUAGCGGUGAAAUGCGUAGAUAUAUGGAGGAACACCGGUGGCGAAAGCGGCUCUCUGGCUUGUAACUGACGCUGAGGCUCGAAAGCGUGGGGAGCAAACAGGAUUAGAUACCCUGGUAGUCCACGCUGUAAACGAUGAGUGCUAGGUGUUAGACCCUUUCCGGGGUUUAGUGCCGUAGCUAACGCAUUAAGCACUCCGCCUGGGGAGUACGACCGCAAGGUUA
rnacentral:rRNA from 1 species